AUUCUGGAUCAAAAGGGUAUUACCCAAACUCAGAUCAAGCCCUGGGGAAAUAACAGAUUACUGUGUACUGGGAACCUUUAUCCAACCCAAGUGAGCUUUACACAGUCUGACUGGUCUGUACUCGCCAUUCAUGACUAAACAGUCUUGCAAAAUGUACCACGAACUGAGCUAACUUGAUCUAUGACUAUCCUACUCCUCUCUGUGUGACCGGAUACGAAGACAUCUCUACCUACUGAUAAGCAUAUAGUCUGGCCUACAUCUGUAACAGCUUUUAACUAGUUGUAAAAACUUCAAGUUUAAAGGCCCACUGCAGUCAAAAUGAUGUUUUCCUGUGUUUUAUAUCAUAUUGUACAACAGUUGAUGAAACUAACAUUGUAAAAGUGUUAUUUCCUGGUAGUUGCUGGUUGAACAUACUAUCUACACAGGACCUUCUAAUCAGCAGGUUUGCAUGGACGGGAGUUUUGGCUUUCCAUGGUGACAUCACCAUGCAGUAAAUUGGUUAAUAGACCAAUAACAAAAAGAGUUCCAAAACGCUCUGCCAAUAACAGCUAGUUUUCAAUUUUCCCCUCUCCACUCCAACCACUCCCAGACAGUCCUCUUCUCAAGCAAGAUUUCUGCAAGAUUGGGACUUGAAACUUGUAUGCUACCCUCACCCACACCCCAAACAAAACCUAGUAGAGAAUGGGAUGAUGUUGUGUUAAGGAUGAAUGGUAAAUGUUUGAUGGUUCAAUAAAGGACCAGAAUGAGAGGUUCAGGUUUUUGUCUACCCCAGGACUCUUUGAAGAGGACCGAAACAACCAACCUGUCACAACACAACCACAGAGGACACACCUGACUGUGAUGUCAUCUAAUUACAGACAGGCACUGUGUGAGGCAGCCCUUUGAAACUGCGUUUAUCAUGACAAAGUCCUGCACCAUCGGAUAAAAGCGGAGGGUAUAUUUGGGGGGAAAACCCACAAAGUACAUGACGACCUGACGACUGAUUGUCAAAAGCGAUCCACUUCUACUUUGAGAGGACUACUCUGCUCUGUCUUGCUGAGAAAUAAACGGUUAAUUCCCAGGAUCCAGUCAUUGAGUGACUUGGUUUAGAGGACACACAGAGAGAACAAAGACAUGGGUGUUGGUGGUUUGUGCAAACAAACAGAGUUGAUAAGACCACAGUAUUACCCAUAAAUCACAGUACUGCAGGCUGAGGGUUGGCACAGCAAUGUAACUGUAUACUGAUAUCCUAAAGGCGUAGCGACGUUGAUGUCCUGUAGAGGCUCCAGGGUCUCCGUGUGGAACAGUCUGAGGGUGGACCCAGAGCUGAAGGCUAUCCAGAUACCCACUCCAGCCACCACCAUGUGGGAUACAACCAUGCCUUCCUCCUGGUGGGCCUCCAGCUGCCUCUGACAGAGGAAGACGGGAAGAAAGGAUAUUAUACUGCACAGCUCAAUGACUCAUUGCUUCAAAUGUGUUGUCUGUUUUUAGAGUAGUGGGAGAAAACCCUACUAACUUAGCCACCAAUCAGGAAGAAUCAUGUCUCUUCAACAGCCUCACACAGGAAAUGCCUUUUACAUGAUUGUAUUUAGCAUGACAUUAUAUUUACACAUCACCGAGUCACUGAGGAGUAGUCUUAAGGUACAAUACAGCUGUCCAAGUGAUUUCAGAGGGUGGAGACAGACAGAUCAUCUGCACUACACUGUCUAAGCUGUGACAAAACACUGACACACUGACAGUAAGCCUGCUAAGAGGGUGAGCCCUGUCCACAUCCUAGUAAUGGUAGAGUUUACACAGUGGAGAUAAUAUUACUGUUACUGACUUAUGGCUAGGGAUUAUUUUGAGAAACCAUACAUAAAUAAUACAAGAUCGACGAUGUUACUCCAAUUGACGUAAUAGUAAAAUUAGAGAGGUGGUAAUUGUGUUUUGAUUUGCAUGAUUGUUGUAGGUAGUGCUGAGCACAAUAGCGACAUCAGCUUUACUCGAAAUAUGAGCUAUGAGGAAAGUCCUGUCUGCUUCUCAUAGAUCCACAAUUUGAUAUAAACUUGCCUUGAUUUUAUUUCCCUAAUUACAAAGCCAAAUAUGACUGAGGGCAUUUCAGUUUACCCAAUAUGCAGUUUACCCUACUCUGUGCCUCAGUUCUACUGCUAUCAGUCAGAAAGAAUAUCAAUUGUGGAUUUAGUGGUUUUUAAGUAAUUUCCCUGCGAUUUUCUCAGCCUAGUACCUGGGAGGCACUACUGUACAGCCAUCAGCUGAGUGGCAUGGAAUCUCCCCAUCCCUGUUAACGAAGGGAAACUCUACUUGGCCAAGGACAGUCUCACAGGCCUCACAGCAGGGUUCCAGUAUUAACAACAAGGACAGUCUCACAGGCCUCACAGCAGGGUUCCAGUAUUAACAACAAGAUCAGGUAUUGUGUCACUGAACCUACAUACAUUUGAACUUCCCAGAUGACCCCUCUAUCCUCCUCCUCCUCUCCCUUUCCCCUCCUUUAGUCUCUCCGUCCCCAUUUCUCUACCAGUCUCUCUCCUUCCUCUUCACCUCAGUCUCUCCCACUCGUUCCAUUUUUGCCUGCCGCUCUUUCUCCCCAUUUCUCUACCUCCAUCACCAUUCCCCCAUGUAGGUGCCAGGGUGUAAGCCUUCGGGGAGAAAGGCAGGUGGUCCUGUAAUGAGCCUAAUUACACUAACUGGAUUAUGAGUCACUGUGUGUCAGAGGAGGAGGGGAGGAGGGAUAUUGCUAUUCCAGGACGGACAGCAGGUGCUUGUGACCCGGACUGACUCCAGGACGGACAGAGAACACAAACGCCACAGGCCUGGAGAGAGGGAGCGAGAGACCCCUCCCAGGUUCCUCUAUACCUCUCUAACGCAAUUAAGCCAGAGCCAACCCAAGUGCAGGUGAUAUCCCAGACAUUGGGCCAGAAUUAGUAACCUAGAAAUACAUAACUGGACGUGACAUGCCCUCCGGCCACAUUCUACAUUCUAAUGUCUAAGGCUCUAAUCCAACCACACUUCAUCUAGUCGUUUCACAGUUAAUAGCAGGGAGCAACAUAUCCACAUCAACAGUAGCUAGCACUGUAUCUUUAAGAGUAAAGCUACCAGAACCAGCGAUGCCCUAGAGAGACUGAGCAGAGCAGAUGCAUGGUGUGGGAUGGUAGAAUAUCAGAACAGAAAUGUGAAGUAUUCCCAGAAAAUGUGAUGAAUGCACCAACACCCACAUCUAUGCAACCGCAGAAGGAAACGCCAAUGAGUUAUGGACAAAAUCAUUUCCAUUUCAGUUAAACUCUGAUUGACCUCUUGAUCCGUUCGUUUAUCGCAAUUUAUCAUCUUCAAAUCCUUCAUAUUUGUACAACGCCAUGAGAAGACCUCUUAAUAUAUAUUUUUUUAUAGAGGCCUUGAAAUAUAAUAUUUGAAUAGUAGAUUGGAGCUGCAAGUCGGACCACCCAACUUUGUAGCAGGUGAACUGUAAUAAAAAGGUGUUCUCUACACCACCA